GGACGCCGCGCCCAAGCCGAGCCACUGGAUGGCGACAGAGACGGCCCGGCGCGCCCGCUGCCUGGGCACCAAGCGGGGAGGACAGACCUGGCCGGCGCGAAGUUUGUGGACUUGGGCUGCGGGCCCCGGGCGCCCCUACUCCUUCCCGCAGAGGCCCGCGACGCCGGGGCCCAGAGUUUACCUUAAAGAUCAUCAGUAGAACUGAUUCAGAGGGAAGUGGAUCCCGUAUAUCCUUUGAGGUCAGCUUCCCCAGCCCCACUCCUCUCUCAGGUCCCCUCAGCAAGACGAGCUCCCAAGACCAGAUGCUCGCCAGGCAGCCCCACGGUACCAGAGCACCUUCUGAUCCCGCACGAGCAGGGGCCUCCAAGGACCCCAUGAGGCCUUGCUGGAACUGGAUACCCUUUCCCAGGGGUCACUAGAGGGCCCGAUGCAAAGACGGUCUCCGGUAUCACCCGUCACCUCGAAUCCCCGCCCGCCGGGCCUCUAAGGAGACCGUGGAGGCUGUGAUGAGCGCUGAGGGCCCGCGGUGGCCCAGUGAGGACGCCUCUCCAGCUCCAACAGUAUUCCUGCUGUAAGGUGAGUGUGUCCGGGAUGAUUUUCUUCAUAAAUUUUUCUGUUCCUGCUUAAUUAAAACAGUCUGACUUCCCUCCUCCGUGUCCUCCUGACACGCUUCCUGAUUCCCUCUGCUGGCAUGCAGGCACCACAGACCCUGGGCUCCUGAGAACCUGGGGCUGGUGGGGGGCAGGACCCUUCUGGAAUGUGCUGGGCUGGUGUCCGCCCUCUGGCCCCUGGAGGGGCUCCCUCGCGGUCCCUGCAGCUCCCAGGGGAUGCCGGGAUCUGUAGCUCUUGAGUCCCCCCCCUUUGAUGGCAGCCUUUCAUCCUGUUCAGAAGGAAGUGACUUUUUCAAAGGUGACACGUUCCAUUUCGUCCUGUCCAUUCUGAACUCCUCUUAUGUUCCGGACAUUCCCUCAUCCAGCGGCCAUUCGUUGGGCACCUUCUAGGUGUCACUGCUGCAGGAGAGGGAUUAAACAAGACACACGCUUUCUGUUCCCUGGAAACGUGUGCCCGGUUUGGGAAAUGGAUGAGGAAACUGGCAAUCAGAGCGCAGUGUGGCCGAGCCGCGAUGGGAGGGGCUAAGCCGGCAGGGGAAGAGCGCUCGGCCCCAGAUCAGGUGGGGGGCGCUGGGAGGGUGUGCCAGGGAAGCUUCCCGCAGAGCGGUUUUCAAACAUGUUUAGUGCCGUCCUUAGAAAGAGCACACACGGACACACACGUUAAAUGGCAGUUUCACAAAACAAUACCCACACUCUCCAUACUCUGUGCUGUUUUCUGUCCUAAUUCAUUCCUUACGACACUGGUUGUCCACCAA